UCUACGGGAGGCAGCAGUGAGGAAUAUUGGUCAAUGGACGCAAGUCUGAACCAGCCACGUCGCGUGAAGGAAGACGGCCCUACGGGUUGUAAACUUCUUUUGUAAGGGAAUAAAGUGCAGUACGCGUACUGUUUUGCAUGUACCUUACGAAUAAGGAUCGGCUAACUCCGUGCCAGCAGCCGCGGUAAUA
rnacentral:rRNA from 1 species